UUCUACUUUGAUAGUAAAAUGGCCCUUGCAGAACUGUUACCGAUGAGAGAGAACAGGUAAGGAGACGGCAAGUAGACUUUGGGAUAAUGUUUUUUGUAGUUCAGAGUUUUCUUCACCUUGGGCUAGUGGUAUAGCACAUUUAUUGUCAUCCAGUGGAAAAAUCUAACUUGCUAGAAAUGAAAAAACUUCUAUAUAAAUAUUAGCACAGGUACCCUUGACUGCAAAAGAUCGGUUAUCACAUCUUAAUCCAAAGAGAGUCAUUGGCAAAACAUAAUUAAUUCUUCAUCUAAUUUUUAGUGCUCACAUGGAGUGGCCAAGAAGUAACGAGUCAUACCUCUGAAGUGCAGCUGUCCAACAGAGCCAUGGAACUGCUUAGAGUAAAAAGUCAAAGAUCCUGGUCUGUUGGACUAUCAGUAGCUGAUAUGGUUGACAGUAUUGUAAACAAUAAGAAGAAAGUGCAUUCUGUAUCAACUUUAGCAAAGGGAUAUUAUGAUAUAGAUAGUGAAGUGUUUUUAAGUUUGCCUUGCAUCCUUGGAAUCAGUGGAGUAUCUGAAGUCAUCAAAACCACACUGAAAGAAGAUACAGUUUCUGAGAAACUCCAAAGCAGUGCAUCCUCAAUCCAUGGUCUCCAACUACAGUUAAAACUUUGAUUCUCAAAUGCAAUUUAAGAGGCUGGACUUCUACCUAAAGGGAAAAGUCAUUUAAUUUUACCAGUAUAUAUAGGUUUGAGAAUUUCUGUAUCCUGCUAUUUAUCCUUACAAACUGCUUGGUUAAAGUAGAGGGUUUCUUGAUUAGCUCUGUGAUUUAAAUCCUUAAGAAGUUACAUAAGGAGGGGAAAAAUUAAUUUUAUUUGGGGUUCUUGAGAUAUCUAUGCUGUUCUUUAAAUCUACAGCAGGGGUAAACAUUCAUCUGAAGUAUGCAUCAAUUUAAAUCAUAUAUCCUAAACUAAAAGCACAGUUCACACUUUGGGAAUAUUUUAUAAGUAAUACAUCUUUAAAAGAAAAUUACCCUUUGACUUUGAUAAUAAACAUAAGUUCAAGGCCCAGUAUGGAUUUACAAAAUCUGUAUCAAUUGUACAUUCACAGGAUCCACAGCUUAAGUUACUAAUGUUUCUUGUGUAAAAUCCUGUUGGUAGUACUAGUAAAGCAUUAUAUUUCCCUUCUUCAAAUUAAUUAGCUACCAAAAAAUGGAAAAGAAUUUUACAUGCACUUUAAAACAGAAAAUGGAAAGUGAAUUUUUAAAAUGAUAUGCAUUAAAAGUUUAAUUUAAUUUCCAGUGGGACUUUAUGAAAUUUUCUAUAACUUCUUCCUGGAGUAUAUAAGAUCUCCAACAUCUCAUAAACUAAUUGUGAUAUUAGUAGAACCAUACACAAAUGUAUAUUUUUAGUGGAAAUAGAUUAUGAAUGAAAGCCAAGCAGCUUACUUUAGAGCCCAACUAUGAGAUUUUCAUUAAAAACAUUGGUCAUAAUAGGGAGAGGUCGAACGGACUCUCCCCAUUAUUUGUUCUGAGCAAAUCCUUUAACCUCUCCUGAUCAUACAGUUCAGAGCACACUCUUUGGUGAUAGAUCAACAGCAAUAUUUUCUUAUGUGAAAGAUAGCUUAUUGUUACUAUUGUGACAUUACAACUGAUAGUAACAGUUAACAUUAACACUUCAUAUAUACCAGCCAGCAUGAUAAGCACUUUAUUAUUUUACUGAAUCCUCACAACAGCCCACAGAGGUAGGGACUAUUACCAUCAUCAUUUUAUAAAAGGAAAUUGAGGUUUAGGCCUCAAGAAGUCUUGGCGAUUAAGGGGCACUUAUCCAUACAACCUCUACUUUUUCUAGGCACUAAAAGGGGGAAAAGGCUUAACAGCCAAAAUAGUUAUCAAAAGACCCUAAAGUUGGGGUCCUAUAUACCAUGAAAGGAUUACUUUCAUUCUCAUGUAAGGGCAUGCUUUUAUAGAAAACAAACAUGGGCUGGGCGUGGUGACUCAUGCCUGUAAUCCUAGCAUUUUGGGAGCCCGAGGCAGGCAGAUCACGAGGUCAGGAGAUCGAGAUCAUCCUGGCUAACGAGCCUGUCUCUACUAAAAAUAAAAAAAAUUAGCUGGGCGUGGUGGCAGGCACCUGUAGUCCCAGCUACUUGGGAGGCUGAGGCAGGAGGAUGGCAUGAACCCAGGAGGCGGAGCUUGCAGUGAGUGGCGAUCACACCACUGCACUCCAGCCUGGGCGACAGAGCGAGACUCCAUCUCAAAAAAAUAAAAAGUUUAAAAAUUUGCCAGGUUUGGUGCUGUGCACCUGUAGUUCCAGCUACUCAGGAGGCUGAGGCAGGAGGAUUGCUUGAGCCCAGAAGUUCAAGAUUACAAUGAGCUAUGAUCAUGCCACUGCACUCUAGGCAACACAGUGAGACCCUGUCUCUAAAAAAAUAAAAAUAAAAAUAAAUCAAGCAUAUAAUAGGUUAAUCUAGACGGAGAUAGGAGGGUUUAUAAGGGCAGACACAUCCUAGGUAAAGAGGAAAUAGGCAAACUAACACUGUUUUAGUGUAAUAAGGAAUGCUUAUAAUGAUGAACUUUAGUCAUAAAGAAAAGGUGAAAUUAUAUUCAGUAACCCAUGUUUAGGAAAGCAGAAAAGUAUUUAAUAUGCUUGGAAAGAUUCCCACCAGAGUUAACUGGAUAAAAACCUUGGACAUUUGAAGAGAAAAGCAUUUAGGUCUAUGUAAUUUCAAUAUGCACGCGAAUUAGUUCAUGUUACCCUAACAAUGUAUUCUUACUGUCCUUUUUUAUGAAAUAGGAAAGUAAAACUGAAAGAACUAUUGUUUUUAAAACUAGCCUUUUCUAAUAUUUGAUAUCUAAAGUUAGAUAAUAUGUAAUAUGCUUUUGAACAAUAACCAGAAAAUAUUGUAUAAUAAAUUACCAAUAACUCAUUAAUUAUAAAAGGAACAUGUCAAUACAACAAAUGUUUAUUUAACACCUACUGUUAUUCCACAUACUGUGUUAGAAUUUGACUCUUUGAAGAUGAAUAAUAGUCUUUGCCCUCUGGAAGGCCACAAUGAAGGAGUAAUUCUCUGUAUCAGAUAUUUCUUUGAGUGUUAAGUAUAUUAGUAAUCAUGUUGUAAAUCCCAGUGUAAGUCAAGAAGCAAUAUCACCACCACCACCUCCCUAUGAUUUUGUGAUAAUUUGACAUUCUCAAUGCUUGUUAACUUUCAUGUUUUUAUUUUUACAAAAUCAUGCAGAGCUUGUUACAAUUUUUAGUGGGGUUUGGAUUAAAAUGCUUUUUUGAUGUAGCAGAAGACAAAUUUUUUUCCAUUUUCCAUUGUUUUCCUUAAAUAUUAAGAAUAAUGAACAAAAUAAACUGAUUUCAAAAUCACCA